GCAAUGUCUGAAAAUGCUGGCUGGUUAUUUCUACGAGUUCUCACGUGCUGUCGCAGAAGUUCUCAGUUUUAUUCCAGCUUUCUUGUUAAAGGAUACUGCCAGGCAAUGUCUUAAGGGGAAGCACCUGGUCACUGAUGGUAGAAAUCAGACGCUUCAUGCACUCUGCUAAGCACUUUACAUUUAACCAUCUCAAAAAUUCUAUGAGAUCCAGCAUAGGCAGCAACCAUCUGCGGAUCACUUUGUAGUGCCCACCAGGUAGCCCUGAGCAAUCAAAGACAGCAGCUGACUUUGGACUACUGAGGAGCCCCUCCCAAGGUACUACAAAAACAACAUACCUGGAG